GUGGUUGAGUGGUAGAAUUCUGCCUUCCAUGCAGGAGACCUGGGUUAGAUUCCCAGC
rnacentral:tRNA from 1 species